rnacentral:lncRNA from 1 species
AUGCUUACUAACAGUGUAUUCCAAUUCCAUCUGCUAGGCUGAAAGGAAUUAAUAUUAGGUCUGUCACUAAAGACAUUUGGAUGUCCCUGCUAACUCCUUUCUGUAAUCACACAUUGCAAAGCUUCCUACUGUUCUUCUGAGCAGUCUUGUCCUGACUGCUUACUGACACAACAAGCCAAAGAAAGUACUUCAGCAGGGAAAGCAACCUUACCAACAAGGAGACACAAGACAGCCAUUCCUUUCUGCUCAAGGCUUGGUUUUGUUGGUGUGCAGAAGGGGAGCAGAGAAGGUCUACCAGGGCUGUCUGGAUGUAUGGAGACCCCAGCAUGAACAGGAAAAAAGGACAGCAACCUCCAGGUGUUACAGGAGGAGCUGGGGAAGACGGUCCAGAUGGAGAACAGAGAAGAGGCUUCAGCACUGGAAUAGAUCCACAGUGAGAGCAUCAAUGAUGACACUUCCAGACCCUCCGUCCCAUCAGCCUGAGGCAGUCUGCAACCCACAAAAGUCCUCUACAAACUCAGAAAUUCAUCACAAAGUUCUUGUGUAUCCUGGAGUAACAAUGGCAAAUGAAAGAUUUGGGGCCAUCAUAAAUAAAUGAAAAGUAAGAUAAAACAAACAAACAAACAAACAAAAACUGAUGACACAGGACAAGAGAAAAAAUUGUAUUAAAACUUCAUUUUUAGUGUCAGUCAAGGGAAUUUCCUUUAAAAAUCAUCAUUGGAAAGAAGACAUAAUAAUAUAUAUAUGGUUUUCUCACUGAGAAAGGCAACUUAUCAUUUCUCUGUUUCUUUCUUUCUUUCUUUCUUUCUUUCUUUCUUUCUUUCUUUCUUUCUUUCUUUCUGCUUUGUUUAUUUUAAUGACACAUAUGUAGUUUUACUUUUAUUUCACUAUGUGUUAAAAAAGUUUUAAAUGAA